GAGACCCUGCAGAUCCAGGUCCAGGAACUGGCUCCACCCAGCUAGUAACCAGAGAGGCCAGGAUUGGGCUGGGCAAUCAAAGCUGCCCUAUGUCACUGUGCAGCCUAGCUCUGAUGGUCAUCCCAGUCAAAGGGUAGGAUGGGGCUUUGUAAGUUGGAGGCCCUAUGUGACUACAGUGUCACACUACCACCAUUGCCAGCCCACGCUCUCGAGAGGCAGAGCUGAACGGAUGAGGUCAUCCACUACAUGGAGAUGCUUUUCCAGGGAAGACAGGCCGGAGGAGCCUCCUCUCCAUGAAGGAGGGCCCCCUGGAGAUCCAAGACCUGGGCUGGAUCCCCCACAGGAGAGCAUCAGCCUGGAGAGUCUGCUGAGAUGAGCACAGGGGGUGUUGGCAAGUGUGCAGAGCCAGUGGCACCCCUAUGCCAACCAAAAACCCGCGAUCUAAUUUCCAUUUAGGAGGCCUUUCCUAUGCUCCUCUCCCUGCCCAGCUCUAUUCAGAGGGUUAGAGAACAGGGAUGAACAGGAGCUGCAGACACAAGGACCCCUGUGACACGGGUUCCGUGUGCACGGACGGAGCAAGCGGCAUGCAGGCUGGCAAGCCCUGCACACGCCACACGCUCCCUGGAUCGGGGGCUGGGGGCUGCAGAGUGUGCUACAGCCAGAAGCUUCCAGACCUCCCACCAAGGAAAUGAAUAGUGGCAGGCUGGGGUGUCCCUUGGGGUGUCCCAAGCCAGAGGAAGUCUGAAGAGAGCAGAGCUUUGGAGGACCUCUGUGCUCUGCUUAGGGCCAUGAGCUCUCAGAACCCCACGGCGGGACGGAGGGAGCCCAGGUCAGCCACACCCCAGCCUCUCCAGCCUUUCAGUUUCCAAGUCACAACUCUGAGAACAACUAGGAAGGUGAAGAUCAGUCCUCCCAAGUCAAAACUUGGAGACAGGCUC
rnacentral:lncRNA from 1 species